rnacentral:rRNA from 1 species
UUUACAAUGGAGAGUUUGAUCCUGGCUCAGGAUGAACGCUAGCGGCAGGCUUAAUACAUGCAAGUCGAGGGGCAGCGCGGGUAGCAAUACUUGGCGGCGACCGGCAAACGGGUGCGGAACACGUACGCAACCUUCCCAUAACUGGUGAAUAGCCCUCCGAAAGGAGGAUUAAUACACCGUAACUUAACGAAGAGGCAUCUCUUUGUUAAUAUAGU